AAAGAAAAGAGAGGAGGAAUGAAGGGGAGAGGUGCAGAAAACUUUUGAACGAAGAGAACUUCAUUUUCUUUUUCUUUGUCUUUUAUGGUUUUUUCUUUGCUCCUUUUUCAUGUUUUUAACUCUAAGAUAAAAGAGGGAAUGAAGUUCUUAAA
rnacentral:ribozyme from 1 species